GUGCUCACUUCAGCAGCAUAUAUACUAAAAUUGGAAUGAUACAGAGAAGAUUAGCAUGGUCCCUGUGCAAGGAUGGCACACAAAUUCAUUAUUCUUUCUU
rnacentral:snRNA from 1 species